ACUAGGUUUGUGCAGAGGCGAACUCAUUGUUUUCUACCAAUCUUGAAAAGGUGUGGGAGGACAUGAGGCUGUUCCAGUUACAUGCGAUUAUCGCCUCUGAGAGGAGUCAUGUACAGCAUGAUGAGUAGUGAGUGUUUAUGAAGGUGAGCAAUGUUGAUUUGAGCGGUAGUGUGUCACGCUGGACGUGGGUCUGAGCGCGUCGUGUCGUGUUGCGGUACAGUGAGAGUGGCAUGGCAGCAACAUCGUGUCGCGGUUAGGGCGAGCGCGGUCGAUGAGCCCGACGCAGAGGGCAGCACGGAGCCGCCGCGGGGGGCGCUCCCGCGGCCCCCGCGCCCUUUUCUCUACCCCGUCUGCUUGCGCACUCUGUAGAGCCGCGCCGCGCGCUCACUAAUGCGUCAUAUCGCCAUCGAAGCUAACGCGCUUUCCGCCACUCUGGAAGUACAAUUCGCGCGCGCCAUGUGAACUUAUGUGUUGACUUAUGUACAGACAUGCGACGCGUCAGCGUGUUCGGGAAGCUUAAAUUCGACUUCAAUAUGACUUUUGCCGUUAUGGACAGUGACUUUGGUGCCUGUGAGCUGAGAGACAGUAUAGUGGUACACGCGGUUGGCGCACGUGCUCGCGUCUUCUUCCUAAAACUGAGUACAAUGGCCGACAAACUCCAGACUAAUUUAAGAAACGGAGGUUGAAGCAGUGAAAGAUUUCCUAAUGGAUCAAUUACAAAAUGCGCUGAUUGCCCAGGUAUAUCAGAUGGGGCGACCUGUGGCUCGGCGGGAGAACUGUCAUCAUUGCUCGAUUUUAAUCCGAGGUGAACCCUGUCUUUGAAGAAAAUGCCGUGAUCGAACGUUCGAGAUAAAGAAAACAAAAUGGCUGACCUAAACAAAUAAAAGCUUGCACUGGAGAGGCCGGUGAACGCGGGAAGCUAGCUGUCCCGGAGCUGACGAUCUCUCAACAGAUGGCGAAGUCUUCGGCGUCGUGUGAAUCUCAAACAAAAACUCUGUUUAAAAUAUCAAUAAAUUCAUUCAAACUUAUAAA